UCUUAUGGAUGAGCAAAGAAAAUUGUUUCUUGGGAUGGAAUUUAUUCCUUGUGAAGAUACUGUGAA
rnacentral:pre_miRNA from 1 species